CAUUUUCCGUACUCACAUGAUUGGUAUUUUAUAGCUUUUGAGGACUAAUUCUAUUAAACUAGCAAUAUAGCGACACGUCAGUUGCCAAGCGCAGUUUCAUUGGUUCGAUGUAUCAAGGUUUACCUUGAGUAUAUAAAAUGUUUGAAUGGAUAGUGGUGGCAACAGAAACAGAAGACAGUUUUACGUGGAACAGAAGACAGUUUACGUGGACACAAUGCAACAGCAAUACUUAGACAGUGUUAGUAGUAUGGAGAUGGAAGCUAUACUGAAGACUGCCAAUCCCAGCCCCUAUCUCCGUGAAUUGGUAGAAAAUACGGAAAUCGGAAGACCUAACGAAACCGACCGCACAGAUUCAUCAUCAUACCUGAUGGACUCUGAUGACGCAAUGGGUCUACCCGAUCUUGAAGAAAUCUUUGGUCUAACCAGCAACCCCAAGACGACUGCUGGUGCACCAGGUGAGGGCGUUUCAGGUCUGGUCGCAGACCCUAUUUCACUAACCAAUGCGUUUGACCAACAGUUCGUAUCAUCCUUUUUCUCUGCUCCGUCUGCUUCGUGUCCCACGCCAGACGAUAUCGUGGUUUCAAAUGCAGACGACUCCACAGACUUGGUCUUCAGCGACAUAGUCCUGGAACCAAUUUCAGACACGGCUAAUAUUCCGGAGACCGUGAGAGAGCUCUUUGAGCAGGGAUUGGCCAAUUCUAGUGAGGGUCCACUGGCGCAGAAGCCGACGACCACCACUAUCACCACCACCAGUCUUGCAGACGGUCAGUUUGGCCAGCAGACGACAGGGGACUUCAGUGUUCAGGGUUUGGGAGAUUCUUGGGAAGCAGCCACCUCUGUGGUGUCAGUGGAAUCCCCCGUAAAGCAGAAGCUGAGAAACACCAUCCAGCAAAAACAUGGGGACAGGCCUCUUCCAGCUGUGGACUUCACGCCCAAGCCACAAUCAGAGCUGUCGCAAGAAGAGAGAGAGAAGGUUGAAAGAAGAAAGCAGAAGAAUCGAGACUCUGCAGCCAAGAGUAGAACCAACCAGAAGAAGAAACAGAAGUAUCUAGAAAAGGUUGGUUCAGUCAAGGUGUACCUUCUAUUGCUGAAUCACCACGCGAGUUGAAUUGACAAUUGGAAACCGUUCGAAGUUCAAGUCUGCGCUCGCUCGCUUGCUAGUGUUCAAGUAAUAUUGAGGUGGUUAAGUUACCAGGGCGUGGGGACUAACUGCUUCAGUAUUGUUGUCCUAGGCCUGCACUUCAUUGCAGUAAGAAUUCUGGAAUUAGAAGAUCAAAAUGAGAUGCUUUCAGCGGAGAUUAAAGUCCUGAGUAUGAGGAAACAAACAACCGCUCAAGUACUGCAUCAUCAUAAAUGCAAGUGCAAAUCACGUACACAGAUAAAC
rnacentral:misc_RNA from 1 species